rfam:Botryobasidium botryosum FD-172 SS1 unplaced genomic scaffold BOTBOscaffold_7, whole genome shotgun sequence.
UCACCACUCUGGCCUAUGGCUUAGAUCAAGUGUAGUAUCUGUUCUUUUUAGUUUAACCACUAAAAUGGGUCCACCGGACUCCAUCAUGGUUAUUCAAUUUUUGCCGCCCUCGCCCGCGGCCCUCUGCUUGCACGGCCGCGCGGCAAGAUGACCCCGCCACCACACAACCGGCGGGCGUCGUCAGGGGAUC